GCCCUGACACAGCUGGUCUGUGCUGCAAGAUCCUUCUACACGAACCAACCAUGGCCCUGCUUCUGCCCCUCCUGGUAAUGUUGGGCGCCCUGUCUGGUGUCCUCUCCCAGGUGCAGCUGCAGGAGUCAGGUCCUGCAGUGGUGAAGCCUGGGGAGACCCUCACACUCACCUGUGCCAUCACCGGAGGCUCUGUGUCUAGCACAAGCCACACCUGGGACUGGAUCCGGCAGCCUCCAAGUCAAGGGCUGGAGUGGGCUGGGCGCAUCUACUACAGAUCCAGCUGGAGCACAGACUAUGCCACCUCCCUGAAAGGCAGAAUCACCAUCACCCAGGACACCUCCAAGAACCAGUUCUCCCUGCAGCUGCGCUCCCUGACAGCUGCAGACACCGCCACGUACUACUGUGCUAGGAGACACAGUGACACAAAGUAG